AUGGGCUGUUUGCUUACAAACCCAUUUUUUCACAAAGGGUUGCAGCUGCAUCUCGGCCCUGGCAGAUGGUGGGAGCUGUGUGCUCGUUCCCCUGUCCCAGCGUCCCGGGCUGCCGUGAUGGCCAUCCCUGCCGUGAGGAGGAGCGGCAGAGAUCCCCCGCACCCCCGGGAGCCCGCGGGCAGACACCGACCCUGCUCCGGGCUGGCGGCUAUCGCUGGGGGAGGCUAUCUCGUCCAGGACUACGUUUCCCAGCGGCUCCUCCCGGGGCUGCACAUGCUCGAUGCGGCUCCCGGCUCCUCCCGGCAGCUCCCGGCGCGGCGCCCGGUGCGGCGCAGGGGCGGUCGGUGCGGUUCCCGGUUCUCGUUCCCGGUGCGGCUCCCGGUGCGGCUCCCGGUACCAUCGGCGGCGCGGCGCUGCCCGGGGCGGUUCCCGAUUCCCGGGGCGGUUCCCGGUUCCAGGGGCGGUUCCCGGUGCCACCCCCGGCGGGGCAUCCUCCCGGUGCGCCCUCGGGAGAGCACGGCCGAGCCCCGCCGCCGCCCCGGGCCCGAGCGCCCCCGGGCCCCGCGGGCCGGCAGCAUGCCCCGCGGGCGAGCCUGGACGCAGGCGGAGGUCAGCAGCCUCCUGUCGCUGGUGGGGGGCUCGGGGGAGGCCGCACUGCUCAUGGCCUCCACGUCGCGACCCAACGAGGCGCUCUGGCGGGAGAUCUCCCGGGGUCUGGCGGCGGCCGGCUACGGGCGCAGCGUGGCCCAGUGCCGCUCCAAGUGGAAGGCGCUCAAGCAGGCUUUCCACUCGGAGCGGGAGACGCGCCGGAGGGCAGGACACCACUCGCCCCGGCUGCCGCCGCACUAUCGAGCCAUGAAGAGCAUCUGGAAGGCGGCCGGACGGCCCGUCUUCGGCGAACGGAGGAUGCCAGACGUGGUGAAGCUGCCCUCCAGAAAGCGCAGGUCAGCCCUUGCCACACGCUCUCCAUCCUCAUCAGAGACACCAGAGCAGGACGUUGGCGGGGACACCCCCUGCACACUGCUGUCUCCGAUGCUGCAGCGUGCGAAGGACGAGCCAGACACUCCAGCUGGUGGGGACCACAUUACAGGAGUGCAACCCACACCCCCUGCCAUGCCACACGCCGAUUGCUGCUUCCCUCCCCUCUCCCUCCUGGGCUGUCACACUGACCCGAAACAGGAAGGAUUUGAGGGGAAGGCCGGUUUUCCUGGUGAGACGUCCCUGGGGAUGGGAAGAGGAAACCAAAUGCUGCCCCUGGCUGUUGCAGCCACAGGCUCCCAUGAGACAGCAGCCACGAGUGAGCAGCCAGCAACAGCUGAAGAUGCAUCAGACACAAGCCUGCAUGGUGGGUGCUCCCUGCAGCUUCCCAACACCCUCACAGAGAGCUCUCAGAGCCAUGGUGAGGUGCCAUUGACCCCUCUCUCACUGCAGGGUCUGGCGUGGCAGGCUUGCUCCAGAAUGUCCAGCAACUGCUGGUGCAGAUCCUGCAGACAUCACGGCGGCAGCAGGCACUGCUGGAGAGCCUGGCCAGUGACACAGUCUCCCACCUCCACCUCCUUUCCCACAGUCUCGUGCAGGUGGGCGAGACCUUGCACCAACUCCUGCUCCGGCCACAGAUCCAUCCUGGCCCCAUUGGCCACUACAUCCCCCAUAUGCCCCUUUUUGAGGGUGGCUCUGGAGUGCCCUGCUCCCCUGGUGCUCCCCACACUUCCCUGGAUCACAAAGAGGAGCCUCAGCUGUCCCCCAAUGCCAGGUGCAUCACCCCGUGAGUGCCACCAUCACUGGCCACAGGAGCAACAGCUUUGCUACACAGCCACAGCACAGAUCUUUAUAUCAGAGGUUCCAGAUAUUUUCAAAGUUUAUACUAGAGAGACAUUUUAAUAAAAUUAAAAAUAGCUUUUCUACCAGU
rnacentral:lncRNA from 1 species